rnacentral:lncRNA from 1 species
UACUUGGUAUAUCUUGAUAUGAUCUCAUAUGAAAAAGUAACUAGCGGUGAUAGUUGGGCAGCGAUUGUCUAUUAUGUAGUAAUAUAAUUUUUAUAUUAAUUGAUAAGUAUAAAAACUAUCUUUCAAAUAUGAUGGCAAACGUUGCAACAGGUAGGAGUCGUCGCUUACAAACAGUGGUGGAUCCAAAAGGGGGGCUGGGUGGGCUCCAGCCCCCCCUAUAAGUAUGAUUUGUCUAUUAGAUUAGGAUUAGUUAGUCUUAAAUUUUUAUUAAUUUCUAGCUUUAACCCUAUAAGUUUACUGUUUAGCCCCCCUUGGCCUUCAUCCUGCUUACAAAUUGGAGUUACCAAGCUCACCUUGUGGUGCAUGUGUCUCAACUGAAGAAAUAUUCCCUCCCCUGGUCCAGGUGAGCACUGAUCUGUCUUCUGUAAUUACUGUGGUGCUACCAGUUCAGAUUCCAGAAUCUAAACUGGUCUCAAGGUGCCACUACGACUGUCAGCAGGGUUCAACAAAUCAAUACUUCAAUGUGAUGAUGGUGCUCAUGCUGUAACUAAAAUAAAUGCAACUUUUGGUGUUGAGAAUAAUAUAGUUUGGGCCGGAAGAUACAUGUUGGGCCGUGAGUGGGUGUGUUGUGUACUUGGGUGGCCCAGUGGAACGGUGCUGUAACUUAACUCAUCAGAUGUUCAAAAAAAAAAAAAAACUCAUCAGAUUGUUAUUGUGGCCCACUACCUGAACACCCUAAACUCUGAGGCUUUGGUUAUUUCUUAGCCGUCCCCUAAUUCUACUAAAUCCUAUAAUUUUGCGUGUUUGUAACUCUGUAUACAAGAGUUAGCAAACAACACCAGCGCGC